GACGAACGCUUGCGGCGUGCCUAAGAAAUGCAAGUCGAGCGAGAACCAACCUUCGGGUGAAGUUCUAGCGGCGAACGGUCGCGUAACACGUAAGCAACCUGCCCUAAAGUUGGGGAUAGCCCUCCGAAAGGAGGAUUAAUACCGAAUGUGGACAUAUUUUCGCAUGUUUAUAUGUCUAAAGCAGCGAUGCGCUUUAGGAUGGGCUUGCGGUCUAUCAGCUAGUUGGUGUGGGUAACGGCCUACCAAGGCGACGACGGGUAGCUGGUCUGAGAGGAUGGUCAGCCGGAUUGGGACUGAGACACGGCCCAGACUCCUACGGGGGGCAGCAAUUAGGAAUCUUGCGCAAUGGGCGAAAGCCUGACGCAGCGACGCCGCGUGACUGAUGAAGUCUUUCGGGAUGUAAAGGUCUUUUGCAGGGGACGAAGGAAGUGACGGUACCCUGCGAAUAAGCCCCGGCUAACUACGUG
rnacentral:rRNA from 1 species